rnacentral:rRNA from 1 species
CACGUAGGGUGCGAGCGUGUCCGGAAUUAUUGGGCGUAAAGAGCUCGUAGGCGGUGUGUCGCGUCGGCCGUGAAAACCUGCAGCUUAACUGUGGGCUUGCGGUCGAUACGGGCAUCACUGGAGUUCGGCAGGGGAGACUGGAAUUCCUGGUGUAGCGGUGAAAUGCGCAGAUAUCAGGAGGAACACCGGUGGCGAAGGCGGGUCUCUGGGCC